CUCGACUCAUCAUAAUAAAACCUCUAUGCUACUACUCUAAACUUGUAUAAAGAAUCUCAGGCAGCCGUACUUUAUCUUCCUGCAAAAGAUCAGUUUGAGGUGAUGUAAGUCCCUAACACGCAAGCUACGUCAGUACAAUGAAGCAGAGGAAGAGAAUUUGAUUUAUUUAGAUACUAGUAUAUAGAAAUAUUUUAUUUUAUAUUUAAUUAACUCCAAAUCAAAUCAGUUCACAUUCCAGUUUUCUUACGGCAGCAAAAAUGUAGCCAAAAAGGCUACUUUAUGUAACAAACUAUUCAUAUAUUUAAUCCUGGUCAUUCCGGUGCCAAAAAUGUACCUUAACCCACUAUUAGCUAAUCUACUUUAAUAAAACUCAUCCAGAAUUAAUUAUAAAUAAAUAAAAAUAAAUAAAUUUGGCCAUGUGAUCGUCUAGUGAAAUUAAUACGUUGUGAACCUUAGUACCCUUCGUCUUUUAUGUGCAGACUGAUUAGAUUUGGAUUUAAAAUACUACCUCUA